rnacentral:rRNA from 1 species
GACGUAGGGGGCGAGCGUUAUCCGGAAUUACUGGGCGUAAAGCGCACGCAGGCGGUUCGCCAAGUUUGGGGUGACAGUUGUCGGCUCAACCGACAAAGGACUUCAAAAACUGGUGAACUUGAGGACGAGAGAGGAACAUGGAACUCCAGGUGUAGUAGUGAAAUGCGUAGAUAUCUGGAAGAACACCAAUGGCGAAGGCAGCCCCCUGGGUCGAAACUGACGCUCAUGCACGAAAGCGUGGGGAGCAAACAGG